rnacentral:other from 1 species
CGAUCUCUGGGGUGCGCGAAACGACGUUUUAAGGCAUUGACCAACAUUAGCAAAAAAGGUUUUCGGUCAAAGUCGCGGUGAGCAAGCCCGUCAAGCAACGGGACGCCUGAAGCGGCUUUCAGGAAACCGCCCUUAAGUAUCAGGUUGAAACUUUAAAACAUCGUCGCCACCCCGGAGCCUGU